AAAUCCCAUACCCCAUAUCCAAUAUCCCAUACCCCAUAUCCCAAAUCCCAAUCCCAUAUCCUUACCCCAACCCCAAUUCCCACAUCCCAUCCCAUAACCCCAUAACCCCAUAACCCCGUACCCCAAUCCCAAAUCCCAUAUCCCAUAUCCAAUCCCAUACCCCAUAUCCCAAUCCCAAAUCCCAAAUCCCAAUCCCAUAUCCCAUACCCCAAAUCCCAUACCCCAAAUCCCAAUCCCAAAUCCCAUAUCCCAUCCCAUACCCCAAAUCCCAUACCCCAAUCCUAAAUCCCAAUCCCAUACCCCAUGCCCCAAAUCCCAUACCCCAAAUCCCAUACCCCAUCCCAUACCCCAUAUCCCAUCCCAAAUCCCAUACCCCAAUCCCAAAUCCCAUAUCCCAUCCCAUACCCCAAAUCCCAUACCCCAAAUCCCAUAUCCCACCCCAUACCCCAUAUCCCAUCCCAUAUCCCAUACCCAUAGCCCACCCCAUAACAAACCCUAUAGCCCGAUCCCAUAUCCCAUAUCCUAUAUCCCAACCCCAUCCCAUAUCCCCAUCCCAUAGCUCACC
rnacentral:lncRNA from 1 species